rnacentral:rRNA from 1 species
GACAGCUGAAUGAUAGUCGGGCUGAAGACUCUACUUGACUAGCUGAGAGGAGGUGCAUGGCCGUCGUCAGUUCGUACUGUGAAGCAUCCUGUUAAGUCAGGCAACGAGCGAGACCCACGCCAGCAGUUGCCAGCAUGUCCUCCGGGAUGAUGGGGACACUGUUGGGACCGCCUCUGCUAAAGAGGAGGAAGGAAUGGGCAACGGUAGGUCAGCAUGCCCCGAAUUAUCCGGGCUACACGCGGGCUACAAUGGUCAGGACAAUGGGUAUCGACACCGAGAGGUGGAGGCAAUCUCCUAAACCUGUCCUUAGUUCGGAUUGUGGGCUGCAACUCGCCCACAUGAAGCUGGAAUCCGUAGUAAUCGCGUUUCAAAAUAGCGCGGUGAAUAUGUCCCUGCCCCUU